GAUGAACGCUGGCGGCGUGCUUAACACAUGCAAGUCGAACGAUGAAGCCCAGCUUGCUGGGUGGAUUAGUGGCGAACGGGUGAGUAACACGUGAGUAACCUGCCCUUGACUCUGGGAUAAGCCCGGGAAACUGGGUCUAAUACCGGAUAGGAGCGCCUGUCGCAUGACGGGUGCUGGAAAGAUUUUUCGGUCAUGGAUGGACUCGCGGCCUAUCAGCUUGUUGGUGAGGUAAUGGCUCACCAAGGCGACGACGGGUAGCCGGCCUGAGAGGGUGACCGGCCACACUGGGACUGAGACACGGCCCAGACUCCUACGGGAGGCAGCAGUGGGGAAUAUUGCACAAUGGGCGGAAGCCUGAUGCAGCGACGCCGCGUGAGGGAUGACGGCCUUCGGGUUGUAAACCUCUUUCAGUAGGGAAGAAGCGGAAGUGACGGUACCUGCAGAAGAAGCACCGGCUAACUACGU
rnacentral:rRNA from 1 species